UCUAAAUUAUUUCCUAAACUUCUUUUUAUCUUGAGUUGAAGACAGCAAUCCAAAGAUUGAGGAAUCCUGCAACAGGAUGCUGUUUACAGGAUGCUGCAACAGCCAUUAUAAAGAUUUCUUUGGAAGCUAAUACCAUGUGUUACACUAUAUGUAUUAUAUACUAUAUUGAAAUAAUGUAUUAUACUUUCCCAUGACUUCAGACCCAGAUUGAGGCAGGAGCUGGAUAGGCAGGUACAGUCUCUGAAGUACAUUGGUCUUGAAUGAUGAUUAUAUACAACAGUAGCCAAUUUAAUCUUUUAGUUUCCUCUCUGUCUUGUCAACAUGUUCUGCCUCGUCUUUGCUAGCUUCUGCUUCGGAGGUUUCACCUUUCCUAAACACCUUCAGCUGGCAUUCUGCAUCUUUUCUUCCUAAUCGGUGAAAGUAACUUGAAGACAAAUAGGGUGCCUUCAUGUUAUUAUGCUGUCAUUUUUAUGUAAUGUGAGUCAGGCAUAUUGUCAUAGUCAUAACUUGUCAAUCAGAAGACAAGUACUGUUCAGCUAGGAAGUUUAGUAAUCCUUGGGAAAACAACCACUGUGCCCUCCUCCCUAUUGCAUUUCUGUUUUCUAUUGCAUUUACAAGUACGUGUGUGGGGAGAGAGGGAGCCAUUUAUAUAAUACUGAUUUUUGUGCUUGGCCAAGCCAAGUCCUUUUUCUUUCAUCUGGAUUGUAAUAUGGCAUUUAAGACUCACUUCAAUCUGUCCAGUUCAGUCAUCAUAUGGUAUUUUUUCAAAGCUUGUUGCAGUUGGCUGGUUUAUAGCAUUGCUUCUUAGGAAGCAGAAAUAUUAUUGGUGGCAUGUAUCAAAGCCCUAGCUUCUCUGCUCAAGGCAUUACUUGGUUGAGGCCUUGGUGAAUGUGUGAAAAAGCCAUGGCAGAUGGAAGCCCCAGUAGCAAUCAAAGCAGAGGGAUGGAAAGUAAGUUCUCCAGGUCGUAGUGCCCCAUCUCACUUGAGGCUGAAACAGCACACUAGCUUGUAGUGUGGCAAAUAAAGCCUUUAUGUGCUGGGAACAGAGAAUAUACAUUUAAUAUGAGUAACCAAAAUUAUUUUAGAAGGGUAGUAUAACACUGGCAUGUUGUCAUAUCUAAUAUCUGAGAGCCUCUUGUAUCAAUGUUUUUCAUGCAGUCUUCCAAUUAUAUCCAUAAUAUCUUGGUUUUCUGUACAUGUAUCCUAGUGAAAUGCCCGGGAGGUAGGAAUUGCUGGACCAUUGUGUGUCAAAAUUGAGGUACAGAAGAGUUAAACAGCUUGUGUGACCAGACAAGUCAAUGCUAAAACUGAUUUAGGCCUAGCUCUUUCAAAUAUUGCAUCAAAAUCCUAACCCAUCAACUAUCUUUUCAUGAACACAGUGAAAUACCUUUCAUUCUAUUGAGAAAAUUGUGCUAGCAAAUAUCCCUAACUCUUCAGCAGAGUAUGUUUUUAAUAGAACAGAGCUUUGUGAUAUUGUAGGAGGCUUCUUCCAAGAAUUUCAAAAUGCUUUUCACAUCCCUGUCUCAAAAUAAAACUUAGCUCUUACUCCUAGACCAGUUUGAAAACAUUGUGGUGCCAGUUGCUACCCUCCAUUUACUUGUUGGUCCCUGCUUUAUCCAUGUGCAUUAAGCUACAUGAUUACUCAACUACUUGAAAUCCUACUAUUGACUUAAGCGCUGUCCUCUUUUCCUAAUGCGUUGUCUGACCAGUUUCAGUAAAAUCUGCCUAAUGGUGAUUUAAUAUCUUACUGCUUACAGACCUGGGCAGUCAGUGCAUUUUUUAUAUAACUAAGUUAUUUAAACAUUAGCAAAAUAGAAGUUACCUGAAUAAAUUCUAUGCCAGGCAGUCCUAUGGCAUAGAACAUUCUUGGUCUUUCAUCCACUUGGUUACAUUUAUUUUCUAAAAUCCAGCUUUGAAAGUAGGUAUAUGGUUUCAUUGCAGUACUCUAAUAUGCUAAUUAGGGAUACUUAAUUAUACCCACUGAAGCUGGCCUCUUUGCUCUUUUACUUUCAAUCCACUCCAUUUAUCACCUGCAGCACAUUCCUCUCUCUCCUUUUAGUCCCAAGUGUUUCUAAAUACCCAUUUCUUCAGGUAUCGUCAUUCUGAAUAAUCCUUUAUAAUUGACAACUUUGUCAAUAACUGGCAGUGACAAUUUACCAGAAAGUACAGUUUAAUAUCUUCCUUCUUUCAGUCUCCAGGAAGAUAGAUACACCUGAUCAUUCCACUCAUUACUUCAAGUGUCUCACUCUGUGUUUCCUCUCUCAUACUGUUUAUUUGCAUGUGUAAAACUUGAACCAGCUGAGUCCCUUUUUAAAAUUUUUUACUUCAACCUACUAUAUUCCCCUCUUAAUGUUUUUAGUCUUUAAGUCAGGAGGAUGAUUCAUUGCCAUAUUAGCUAUUUUAAAAAUGUGCUUCCCUCUCUUCUUCUGGGAACACAGUGCUUUACUCACAUGUAAAGUGUAUCUUGGUUAUUAUUCUCUAGGAAUGCUGCUGCACUUGGGGCAACGUGCUGUUAAUGUAACCAAGGCACAAUAAACAGUCAAAAAGCUGCUGAAGAAAUUAAAUACUUGCCUGAAAGGAGGAGUCUGAUACUUCUCUAAGGAUUCAGGAUACACAAGGAAAUGGCCACGAAACAAUUGUUCCUUUACCUGAGCCAUUCUCCUUCCCGUCCUUGCCCGGGCUGUACAAUAUACCCUUCCACUCCCUUCUUACCUUAGAACAACAAAAAAAUUUAAUUCUGGUGAUGGAAGUAUCCUCUGAGCUGCGGGGUUGGAGAAAUAGGAUUUACCCAUGUUGGCAAUUUAAGGUAAAGCUCCUUUACAUUCUUCUACCAGUUUAGCUGUAGCUGGUGUUUAGAGGAGGGUAGCUGUACCCCAAGCUUGAUGUUCCAUCAGCUCACUUCAGAGUGGGUGUUUCAAGCGUGUGGCUUCUAAAUGAGUAACAUGAACUUGAUCUGAGAAGAACAUGUGUCCAACAGAGCUCUUGCACUAAACUGAUGUAAACUCCAGAGGUUUUGUAUGCUGUAUUUAAAUGUUCAUACCAUUAAAAGCACUGAAGCAGUAUUCUUAAACAUA